rnacentral:misc_RNA from 1 species
UGGUUUUCACUUGCAAAAAGGUACUAACAAAUCUUUUGGAUGUCAAUUUUACUGAAAUUUUAGUAUUCAAAUUAAAGUAUAACUUCUGUAAAUUAUAGUAUGAUGUUAUGAAAGAAACUCUUUUUAAUCCUUGGUCAAUGAUCAGACACAAACACCUUGUCCGAGAUCAGAAUCACUAAAGGAUUUUUCUAGUUAUAGAAGAGAUACUCACAAAGUACUUGCAAACAUCACAUUU